rnacentral:rRNA from 1 species
UACAAGGGGUGCUAGCGUUAUUCGGAAUCAUUGGGCGUAAAGGGCACGUAGACGGUGUGCUAAGUUAGUUGUUAAAUCUCUCGGCCUAACCGGGAAUCAGCGAUUAAUACUGGCGCACUAGAGGAUGGAAGAGAGAAGUGGAAUUCUCGGAGUAGCGGUAAAAUGCGUAGAUAUCGAGAGGAACACCGAUGGCGAAGGCAGCUUCUUGGUCCAUUCCUGACGUUGAGGUGCGAAAGCGUGGGUAGCAAACAGG